ACCUGGUUGAUCCUGCCAGUAGUCAUAUGCUUGUUUCAAAGAUUAAGCCAUGCAUGUCUCAGUAUACGUUCUCGUACUGCAAAACUGCGAAUGGGUCAUUAAAACAGUUAUAGUUUGCUUGACAAUCGAUCACUAUAUGGAUAUCCAUAGUAAUUCUAGAGCUAAUACAUGCGCACCAACCCGACUCACCGAAGGGCUGUGCUUAUUAGAUACCGAACCAACCCAGGCCAUCCUGGUGCCAGUUGAUUCAUGAUACCCAAACGGAUCGCACGGGUCGCCCGGGGACGAGUCACUCAAGUUUCUGACCUAUUCCCUUUCCCACCGGGGGGGAUUGGGUUACCCGGGGUUUGACGGGUAACGGGGAAUUAGGGUUCGGUUCCGGAGAGGGAGCCUGAGAAACGGGUACCACAUCUAAGGAAGGGAGCAGGGGCGCAAAUUACCCAAUCCUGACACAGGGAGGUAGUGACAAUAAAUACCAAUACAAGACUCUUACGUUUUGUAAUUGGAAUGAGAAGAACUCAAACCGCUUUCCGAGUAACAAUUGGAGGGCAAGUCUGGGGCCAGCAGCCGCGGUAAUUCCAGCUCCAAUAGCGUAUAUUAAAGUUGUUGCGGUUAAAACGCUCGUAGUUGGGUUUCUGUCAGGAACACCGGUCUGUCCUGAGUGUCAAGUUACUGGCUUGGCCGCCUGGGAUCUUCUUGGGGAACGGGUGCGCCCUUCACUGUGCGACCCGGAACCUUUGACGUUUACUUUGAGAAUGAGAGUGCUUCAGGCGGGUGUUCCUCACGAAUAUGUUAGCAUGGAUAUAGUGUCGGACUCGAUUCCGUUGUUGGUGCUGGGAUUGGGUGAGGUAACAGGACGGUGGGGCAUCGUAUUUACUGUCGAGGUGCACUCUGGAUUGUUAAGACGACUACUGCUAAGCCUGGCCAGGACGUUUCAUGAUCAGACGAAGUCAGGAUUCAGACAUCGAUGCGUCUAGUCU
rnacentral:rRNA from 1 species